rnacentral:lncRNA from 1 species
AAGUUGUAACAGAAUUGUUACAGCCUGAGUCAGCUCUGUUUAGAAUAAAGCUAAAGAUUAGUAGAAUAAUGAUUUUAAUAAAUAAAGAUAUGACAUGUUUUGAGAAACCAAUAAGUUUUAAAACCAUGAUUAUUUUUUCUUCUUAUAAAAAUAAAAAUUGCUUGAUAGGAGAGGGGGUUGAAUACUAUUUUUAUGAGGCAAGGUAUAAGAAGAG